CCUACGGGAGGCAGCAGUGAGGAAUAUUGGUCAAUGGGCGAGAGCCUGAACCAGCCAAGUCGCGUGAGGGAGUACUGCCCUAUGGGUUGUAAACCUCUUUUGUCGGGGAGCAAAAGCCGGACGUGUCCGGCUGUGGGAGUACCCGAAGAAAAAGCAUCGGCUAACUCCGUGCCAGCAGCCGCGGUAAUACGGAGGAUGCGAGCGUUAUCCGGAUUUAUUGGGUUUAAAGGGUGCGUAGGCGGAAUGCCAAGUCAGCGGGAAAAUCGCGGGGCUCAACCUCGCUCCGCCGUUGAAACUGGCGUUCUUGAGUGGGCGAGAAGUAUGCGGAAUGCGUGGUGUAGCGGUGAAAUGCAUAGAUAUCACGCAGAACUCCGAUUGCGAAGGCAGCAGACCGGCGCCCAACUGACGCUGAAGCACGAAAGCGUGGGUAGCGAACAGGAUUAGAUACCCUUGUAGUC
rnacentral:rRNA from 1 species